rnacentral:misc_RNA from 1 species
UAUUUAUUUAUUUUUUAAAUUUAUGUGUUAGAUAUUCGAGGACAUAAAGACAUGUACACUUGUUUUACACUCACAUUAAAUAUUAUUUGAGAAUGCAUGUUUACUUGCCUAAAAGAUAAAUAGAAGUAUGAGGUGUUAUUCACUUGUGUGUCAAAAAGCUUUCUGUAGCAAUGAGUUCCAUAAUUGUAUAAUCCAUCAUUACUCCACAAGAAAGUCUAAUCAAACAAAUCUCUGAAUACAAUAAAAAAUAAAAACAAAAAAGGGUAAAAAAACACUUUCCACGUUCAAGUUUUUGUGAUUUUCCAUGUCCUUUGUUGAACUGUCAAGCUCAUAUCUAUGUGCCAGAUUGUAUAGUGUUUAUCUCUCAUGUUUUCUUUUCCUAGUGCCUUGAGACUUGUUCUGGAAUGCAUUAGCAACUUCAAAACCAUAUUCCCCUGAGAAGUGAAGGGGGCAGAAUUAAGUUCAGAAUUGGACCUUAGCUACCAAGGAUGUUUGUAUUAACAUGGACAUGUGCCUGUUAUUGUGCCUUAAUGGAAAUGGUUAUGAACUAAAUUUGCUACUCUAGCUUUUAUUGUUUUAAUGAUGGCUCUUUAUCCUCAUCCCCCACUUCCUCCUUGACAUCAUCGUCAUGUUAUUGGGAUGCUGCUUCUUAUUAUCAUAAUUUUUAAUGUGUGCCUUGGUCAGGUUAGGCCCCAAAUGCACCUAGCCUUACCAGGGACAGAUCCAUGUAUGGGCCAAGGGGGGCAAUGGGCUCCCUGAGAUUUAAAAUUUUUUUAGUGGUGUAAUGAUAUUUACUAAAAAAUCAAUAUUUUCUAUUACAGCCAGUCAAAUUUUGAUGGGGCAUUGGACCUAGUAUUUUAAAAGUUUUUAUGAAUUUAUUAGUAAUUUUAUAAAAAAACCCCAAAUUCUUUACUGUCCUAUUGAAAAAAAGAUACCAACAGUGAAACACAAACCCUCUUUCCAAAAAGAAACUCCAGGCCAUCAUUGAAUCGUGGCUUCUUAUUCUCCAUCAAUUCUUUUUACUGGUUUCUUCUUCCAACAAAUUCAUAAUUUUCAACUUAUGUUCUUUGAAAUUUAAAUUAUAGGAUAAGAUCAUCGAAGGGAAGUCUAGCACAGUUAUUGUAUCCUUUUUUUCAUCAAUUUGAUAAUUUCAUUGCUAUUAUUGAAAUAUCUAUCGUACUGGAUUUUCUUCAAACUUAGAUUAGAAAAAAAA